AUGUUCUGUGGCACAUGUGUCAAGUGUGUCUGGCUGCUAACCAGAAGGUUGGUAGUUCGAGCCCACCCAGGGAUG